GACGAACGCUGGCGGCGUGCUUAACACAUGCAAGUCGAACGGAAAGGCCCUGCUUUUGUGGGUUGCUCGAGUGGCGAACGGGUGAGUAACACGUGAGUAACCUGCCCUUGACUUUGGGAUAACUUCAGGAAACUGGGGCUAUUACCGGAUAGGAGCUCCUGCUCCAUGGUGGGGGUUGGAAAGUUACGGCGGUUGGGGAUGGACUCGCGGCUUAUCAGCUGGUUGGUGGGGUAGUGGCUUACAAGGGCUUCGACGGGUAGCCGGCCUGAGAGGGUGACCGGCCACAAUGGGACUGAGAUACGGCGCAGACGCCUACGGGAGGCAGCAGUGGGGAGUAUUGCACAAUGGGCGGAAGCCUGAGACAGCGGCGCCGCGUGCGGGAUGACGGCCUUCGGGUGGUAAACCGCUGUCGCCUGUGACGAAGCGUGAGUGACGGUAAUGGGUAAAGAAGCACCGGCUAACUACGUG
rnacentral:rRNA from 1 species